rnacentral:rRNA from 1 species
UACGGGGGGGCAAGCGUUGUUCGGAAUUACUGGGCGUAAAGGGCUCGUAGGGGGCCAACUAAGUCAGACGUGAAAUCCCUCGGCUUAACCGGGGAACUGCGUCUGAUACUGGAUGGCUUGAGUUUGGGAGAGGAACGCGGAAUUCCAGGUGUAGCGGUGAAAUGCGUAGAUAUCUGGAGGAACACCCGUGGUGCAGACGGCUUGCUGGACCUCCACUGACGCUGAGGCACGAAAGCGUGGGGAGCAAACAGG